CGAUCAGGAAAAUAAACUAUACUACGCAACAGUCAUUGUGGGAAGAGAUAGCCACCGACUAUUUCUUUGUGUAGGCAACAUAAGAGGGUGGCAAAUGUUGCAAAGCUCGCUUUGAUCGUCCCCACUUUGUUCUGGCAUUCCUGGAUGGCCACGGAGGAUGUUAGGGCAAUUGUCGGUGGAGAGCGAUGCAAUGCAAUUCGAUGGUAUUUGAGAGUUCACAACCGGUUGGGGAGGGUUUCAGGCAAUCAGCUGUGCUCUUCACCACCCAAACCAAUGGUCGGUUGAUUCUUGCCCUAAUGGUGACGGUGGUGACUGAGAGGGUAGAGGCCUUUCCAAAUGAGCCAACGACUCUCCAGUCGCAGCUUGGCUCCUGAGGAGUGAACAUCCCUCAGUCAUGUAGUAGUUUGCACGUCCCGGAAGGUUACAUCUUCCACCCAUUUCCAAAUUCGACUCUUCACUCUCCUCAUCUGGUACCAAACCCAUUGCUUCCGAGAUGAUUGGGUAUCCAAAAUCAACAGUUUCUUUCCAUCAAGGUUCAAGUACGCCACAUUCGCGCCACAGUGUCUGGAAUAAUCUGAAAAGUUCCACAACGUGGAUCAUGAAUUCAUGAUGAAGUCCAAUCUCCAAUGCGGAUUCGCUCCUAUCUCGUUAACCUUUUCUGGGCUAGUGAACAGACCCGUCAUUGUCUUUCAUAAAAUGGGUCAAAGCAAAGAAGUUCUCACCCAAAUGUCAGGGGCGAAAUGGAACCGUUCCCGGGACACGAUUGCAACCAUUCCAGAAAACAUGUUCAUUUCAAUCUAAGGGAAAGGGCUCCACAUUGCCCGAGUACUUCAUGUAAUUGGUGAUAGAUAGGUACGCUAGAUUUAGGUGAAAGCAUUACAAAAUGAAAUCCUCGAGAAUUAUUACAUGUAUAUGUUAUGUAUUCAUGCUUAAAGUAUUGUAAUUUGUAAGGAGCAACCCCUUUUCUAUACACACCCAUGAGCUCAAACUGAGAAUCGAUUGGCCGUGGAAUCGAUUGACCACUAACGAAUUCGGGUGGACACUAAUUUAUGUAAAUAUCUUACUACAUGUACAACAUAAGUAAUUUCUAUCUGCAGCAAGUCUUUAAAGCGUGUUUGUAAAUGUAAAUGAGCCCAAAAAAUGCCCUUUUGUAUCUCAACGAUGUCAUUCAUCUCUCUUUUCGAAACCUCUUGCCCAUGUCUAAUUUGAAUAAAUCUUACUUCAAAGCAA